CAGGGAAUCUUGCACAAUGGGCGAAAGCCUGAUGCAGCGACGCCGCGUGGGGGAUGAAGGCCUUAGGGUCGUAAACCCCUUUCAGCAGGGACGAAAAUGACGGUACCUGCAGAAGAAGCCCCGGCCAACUACGUGCCAGCAGCCGCGGUAAGACGUAGGGGGCGAGCGUUGUCCGGAUUUAUUGGGCGUAAAGAGCUCGUAGGCGGUUGCGUAAGUCGGAUGUGAAAACUCAGGGCUCAACCCUGAGACGCCAUCCGAUACUGCGCUGACUUGAAUCCAGUAGGGGAGUGUGGAAUUCCUGGUGUAGCGGUGAAAUGCGCAGAUAUCAGGAGGAACACCCAUGGCGAAGGCAGCACUCUGGGCUGGUAUUGACGCUGAGGAGCGAAAGCAUGGGUAGCGAACAGGAUUAGAUACCCCAGUAGUCCCUGAGCGGGCUGGCAAGGCGCAU
rnacentral:rRNA from 1 species